AUGUAUGAUAUAAUCGUUUCACGCUUUUCGCCCCGUCCGGUCUGCGGUCGGCUUCGGGUCUCGUGCGAUGUGACCCGCGAACCCUGUCAGGUCCGGAAGGAAGCAGCAGUAAGCGGUCAAUCACAGGUGCCGCGAGGGUGCCUGAUGUCGACCGCGGACCCGACGGGGCGAAUUUACUU
rnacentral:SRP_RNA from 1 species